ensembl:lncRNA novel transcript
CCCAAGUAGCUGGGAUUACAGGCACGCACCACCACACCUGGCUAAUUUUUGUAUUUUUACGGGGUUUCACCAUAUUGGCCAGGCUGGCCUCAAACUCCCGACCUCGUGAUCUGCCCACCUCAGCCUCCCAAAGUGCUGGGAUUACAGGCAUGAGGUUUGUUAGAUUCUUUUGUAAGUACUUGAUAUUAUCUGUUGAUGUGGAUCUCAUUGCCAGGUAGCUCUUCUAGCUGCUUCUGUUUAUUCUCCUUUUCUCUUAGCAGAGUAUUGGAAUGAGGCUGUUGAGAGCUGGGCUGAAGGAAUGUUUUGGGAAUGGAUGGUCUGGCCCAUUUGCUGUUGCCUGAGCAAGCUGCUGAGAUUGGUGAGCCAUUCACAUUGACAGAAUGCUCAUGACAAAUGAACAACCACAGAGGCAAAGCCAGGCUAAAAAUCGUCACAAAACAGAACAGAUGUUCCCACCCUCUGAAGACAGAGUUGUAGUUUCAUAGGCCUCAAGAUGGAAAGAUUCAUCCGGGGAGCAUAAACUAAGGGGACACUGAGCAGUGCCGCUUCUGGGGCUUUGAGAAACUGAGUACUACUUGUUCCCUUCUAUGGCAGAAUGCUAAGGAGAGGAGCCGUCAUUGCAAUGUGAAUAGAGGCAACUGGGAAUUGCAUUAAAGGGACUUCAAGGAUCUCCCAGCUUCAUUCUGCGGACAGCCAAUGUAGAACCCUGCCUCAGUCCCAAUCUAUGUAACAUUCAUCUCUAACCCUUUCUUGGCCUCGUGGUAGCUUUCCUCCAAUACUCCAAUUGGGGCCUUUGCCAUGAUGACAUCAGGAUAUUUUUUAAGUUCCCCUUGGAUUGCAUCGAGGCUUCUCUAUGUUGCUUGAGAGGGGCUGCCCAUCUUGCAAACUUUAAAGCACAGUGAAAACAACCUUCCACAAGCUCCCGGAAACUCCCUGAUGCCUUUCUCUGAGGUAAAGGUCUUUAGAUGGUACCUAGUUUUGUGUUAGAAGCUUUCACACCAAGCAGCCAAAAAGGCUCCAUCCUCACCUGAUUUGUGGUCCCCAGAAAGGAGCCUGCAUUAGGCCGAUAAGUCAUCAUCCAGAGAGGUGAUGACAGUCGUCUCCAUGACCAUUGAUUAAUGAAAACAGGGCUAGUUGGACCCAGAGUAGAUGGUUAUAAAUGGUGCUGUCAGAGAAAAAUAAUUAUUGUAUUAAUAAGGAAACAGUCCAAAACCAGGCUCUAAAAAAAGAGAACUGGCAACUUAGCAUCUCCAUGGAUUUCUGAGGCAGACUUGACGGAAUAGUGGGGAGGUUGGGGGAAGGUAUUCUAGCUCCCCCACCACCCGCCUCUCCAGAAGGCAGCCCCUCCUUGCCUGUGCACGUGCCCACGUCCACGCGUGGAUGCGCGGUGGGUGCGCUCGACCUGACCCAGCUCUCCCGGGAUGCGGCAGAUGAGCCGGGGUUGCGUGGAGGCUUUCGGUACCACUUCCAGCAGGAACGGAGAAAAACGAGCAUAUCUUAUUGUACCUGAAACACUCUAUGAUAUGUACUAAAUAUUAUGACUACUCGGGGCCUUGCAAUAAUUGAUUCACCCACACAGCCAUUUAGUCUGCGAGCUGUUCGUUUUACAAAUUCUACAAUCUUUUAGAAAUUCUUUCAGUGCGGAAGAUUGCUGCCUGGCCUCAGAUUCAUUAUGGUGAUUGAAUCCUCUUCAAUAGAGAACGGUUUAAAGAGAGCACAGGCCCCGUGCGUCUCACUCAGAGUUAAGGCGCAUAGGUUAAAAGCUUGUCUGGUGGCAUAAUUCACUGCCGCUAUGCCAAACAAUCACGUCUUAUUGUGACCUUCAUAAGAUACAAAAAGGCAACAGGAUAGAGCUUGGCUUUUUUUUAAACCCACUCACAGAUUUAGCUUCCCAACAUCUGAAGCUUGGAGAAUUCCUAAUUAAAUAACCAAUUAAUAAUGUAGAAUAGAAAAAGCUAUUUUUUUUCUGAAAUGCAAAAUCAUAAUUAAUCAGAGUACAAAAAGCUGCCUGUCUUUAUAUCAGAAAAAUAUAGACUAGGUAUUUAAAUAUUCCACCACACCUGAACCCUGGCCAUCCGUCAUUGCUAUGACUUAAAACAUCUCAGACUAAAUUAGGUUUUGUUUGUAUAGAGCAGUGAAAGUCAGAUGGCUUGAAUGACAAAAUUAGAACAUGCUCAAAUCACUGAGACAAAACCGCAUAAAGAGAAAGAUGUGCAGGAAAAGGGCUGCC